GAUAGUGGACGUUACUCGCAGAAUAAGCACCGGCUAACUCUGUGCCAGCAGCCGCGGUAAUACAGAGGGUGCGAGCGUUAAUCGGAUUUACUGGGCGUAAAGCGUGCGUAGGCGGCUGAUUAAGUCGGAUGUGAAAUCCCUGAGCUUAACUUAGGAAUUGCAUUCGAUACUGGUCAGCUAGAGUAUGGGAGAGGAUGGUAGAAUUCCAGGUGUAGCGGUGAAAUGCGUAGAGAUCUGGAGGAAUACCGAUGGCGAAGGCAGCCAUCUGGCCUAAUACUGACGCUGAGGUACGAAAGCAUGGGGAGCAAACAGGAUUAGAUACCCUGGUAGUCCAUGCCGUAAACGAUGUCUACUAGCCGUUGGGGCCUUUGAGGCUUUAGUGGCGCAGCUAACGCGAUAAGUAGACCGCCUGGGGAGUACGGUCGCAAGACUAAAACUCAAAUGAAUUGACGGGGGCCCGCACAAGCGGUGGAGCAUGUGGUUUAAUUCGAUGCAACGCGAAGAACCUUACCUGGUCUUGACAUAGUAAGAACUUUCCAGAGAUGGAUUGGUGCCUUCGGGAACUUACAUACAGGUGCUGCAUGGCUGUCGUCAGCUCGUGUCGUGAGAUGUUGGGUUAAGUCCCGCAACGAGCGCAACCCUUUUCCUUA
rnacentral:rRNA from 1 species